rnacentral:rRNA from 1 species
CACGAAACAAGGCGAGCUAACAAAAUAUAUUUUUAGAAUAGCGUAUGUUACAUAAUACUAAUAAAUACUUUGUUAGGGAUGAAAUGUCUAUCAAGUCUUGUGAUAUCUUGAUAUUUCCAAAAUGUAUUUAGUACAAUUACAACUAGAGAGUGCCAAGGUUCUUUAGUAUUAUAAAAUAAUAUUUAAUAUAAUUGCACUAUUUAACCGUUAGCAAUUUUUUUUUUUAAUUAUAAUUAUAUAUAGAUUAUAGUUUUUAGGAAAUCACUUUAAACAUACUAACAAGUUGUUAAUGUUAUUAUAAGUACUUAAUAGAUAUUAAAAAUGAACUCGGCAAUAACCUCUGCAACUGUUUACCAAAAACAUAGCUAUUAGAAAUUAUUAAUAGUUAAUUCUGCUCAAUGAAAUAUUAAAUAGCCGCAGUACCCUGACUGUGCAAAGGUAGCAUAAUCAGUUGGCUUAUAAUUGAAGUCUUGUAUGAAAGAAACUAUGUGGAGUAACUAUAUUACUAAUACCAAAUGAAAUUACUCAGCAAGUGCAAAUACUUGUUAAUUAAUAAUAGACGAGAAGACCCUAGAAAUUUUAAGAAUUACUAAUUAAAGGUUUUUGUUGGGGCAACAGCGUGACAAAUAAUUCACGUUAUUUACCAGAAAAAAAUUUGCUAGAAUAAAUUACUCUAGGGAUAACAGCGUAAUGUAUAAGCGAUUGCGACCUCGAUGUUGGAUUAGGAAACGAAUGCUUAG